GCAUUAAUGGGUAGUGGUAACCUGGGUCGUUGCCAUAAAUUGAUUGAGAGCAUCGUCGACCCGCCGGGGGUUCGAUUCCCCCUUAAUGCA